UCGGUCCCUAUCUGCCGUGGGCGCUGGAGAAUUGAGGGGGGCUGCUCCUAGUACGAGAGGACCGGAGUGGACGCAUCACUGGUGUUCGGGUUGUCAUGCCAAUGGCAUUGCCCGGUAGCUAAAUGCGGAAGAGAUAAGUGCUGAAAGCAUCUAAGCACGAAACUUGCCCCGAGAUGAGUUCUCCCUGAGACUUAAAGUCUCCUGAAGGAACGUUAAAGACGAUGACGUUGAUAGGUCGGGUGUGUAAGCGUAGCGAUACGUUGAGCUAACCGAUACUAAUGAACCGUGAGGCUUAACCUU
rnacentral:rRNA from 1 species